rnacentral:rRNA from 1 species
UACAGAGGUCUCAAGCGUUGUCCGGAAUCAUUGGGCGUAAAGAGCGUGUAGGCGGCCAGAUAAGUCCGCUGUGAAAUCUCGAGGCUCAACUUCGAGCUGUCGGUGGAAACUGUCUGGCUAGAGUCCGGAAGAGGAGAAUGGAAUUCCUGGUGUAGCGGUGAAAUGCGUAGAGAUCGGGAGGAACACCCGUGGCGAAGGCGGCCUGCUGGGCCGAUCCUGACGCUGAGGCGCGAAGGCGUGGGGAGCGAACGGG